rnacentral:rRNA from 1 species
GACGAACGCUGGCGGCGUGCUUAACACAUGCAAGUCGAACGGGCCUUGUCCCCUUUUUUUUUGGGGGUGGGGUUAGUGGCGAACGGGUGAGUAACACGUGAGUAACCUGCCCCUCACUUCUGGAUAACCGCUUGAAAGGGUGGCUAAUACGGGGUGUUCUGGCCUGCUCGCAUGGGUGGGUUUGGAAAGAUUCGACCGGUUUUGGUUGUUUUGGUGGGGGAUGGGCUCGCGGCCUAUCAGCUUGUUGGUGGGGUGAUGGCCUGCCAAGGCUUUGACGGGUAGCCGGGCUGAGAGGGUGGGCGGUCACACUGGGACUGAGACACGGCCCAGACUCCUACGGGAGGCAGCAGUGGGGAAUAUUGCACAAUGGGCGCAAGGCUGAUGCAGGGAAGCCGCGUGAGGGAUGGAGGCCUUCGGGUUGUGAACCUCUUUCGCCAGUGAAGAAGGUCCUGCUCUUUGUGGUGGGGUUGACGGUAGCUGGGUUAAUGAAGCGCCGGCUAACUACGUG